GAUUGUAUUUCCGGUUGAUGUCGAACGAAUGUCGGUGAAGCUUCCCGCGAAGUGAGCUUUGUUGGGUCAUUGAGCUUCGGUCGGUCUGCUGGGACAGGUGGGGGGCCACUGGAGCUGAAGGGGUGGGGGCCACUGGAGCUGAAGAGGUGGGGGCCACCGGAGCUGAAGAGGUGGGGGCCACCGGAGCUGAAGAGGUGGGGGCCACCGGAGCUCCGCGUGACGAAAACGAUACAAACUUUAAUUUGUUUCUCUUCGGCUAAAAUGAAAGCGGCGCUCAGAGCCGCUCUGCUCCUAAAUGACGUGAAUAAGUGAGACUUUCUGCUCCAGCUGCUUCACAUCUGUCUCACCGCUCAGCUGAGAAGGACCCACACCGGAGAAGAUGGCUCGCAACAGAAUAAUCGUUUUCUUUGACCUGGAGACCACCGGAUUAGAUACUUCAGUGUGUGAUAUCAUCCAAGUGGCCGCAGUUUGUGAGAAAAAGUUCUUCAACAACUACACUCUCCCUUGCUGCUCGCUGACCCCGAGCGCCAUCCAGGUCACAGGCUUCACAGUAAAUGAUGACGGCCUGUUUCUGCGAGGGAACCCUGUGGAAACCAUCCCUCUGCAGCAGCUCCUCACCUCAUUCAUCGCCUUUCUGCGCUCCUUCCGUCGCCCCGUGUUGCUAGCGGCCCACAAUGCAAAGCGUUUCGAUGCGCCUGUGCUCCUCAGAGUGCUGCGGAAGUGUUCCUUGUUUCAGGAGUUCCAGCAGGUGGUGUCAGGCUUCCUGGACACCUUCCUACUGAGCAAAAACCUUUACCCGUACCACGACCGAUAUUCUCAGGAGUGUUUAGUCGAAUACUUUGUUGGGAAGCCCUACGAUGCUCACAAUGCUUUGGAAGAUGCCAGGAUGCUGCAGGAGCUGUUCAAAGCAUGGGAACCGAAUGAUUCUGACAUCAGGAGAACCACUUUUAGAACCAGUUUUAAUUUUUGAGAAAAAAAGGGUAAAAAAUUAACCAUGUCA